UUUUAUGGAGAGUUUGAUCCUGGCUCAGGAUGAACGCUGGCGGCGUGCCUAAUACAUGCAAGUCGAGCGAACAGACGAGGAGCUUGCUCCUCUGACGUUAGCGGCGGACGGGUGAGUAACACGUGGAUAACCUACCUAUAAGACUGGGAUAACUUCGGGAAACCGGAGCUAAUACCGGAUAAUAUAUUGAACCGCAUGGUUCAAUAGUGAAAGACGGUUUUGCUGUCACUUAUAGAUGGAUCCGCGCCGCAUUAGC
rnacentral:rRNA from 1 species